AAGCAUAAAUUGAGAACAUAUAUAUUCAUAUAUAACUUUGGUUUACUUCAAUAUAAUAUAAAUUUAAAAUAAAUUUAAAUGGUGUAAGCACUGUUGCAUAUAAAAAUCAAAAUAAGUAACAACAUUUGUUUAACCUACUAUAUAUACACAUACAUAUAUGUCACAUUAUUUUUUAUGAAUAUUAUAAAAAAAAAAAAAAAUAAUAAAAUAUAAAAUUUAAAUAAAUAUUUUCUAAUUGUUCCUAAAGCUUAAAUUUAUAUAUAUUCUAAAUAUAUAAACAAUUUACAAAAAGAAACAAGUUGAAAGAGUGUUUUUUUUUUUUUUUUUACUUCACUUCUACUUUUUUUUUAAAAAAUGUUUCACUUAAAAAAUAUUAGCAAAAUACAUUAUCCGUUCAUACGAAAUAUCACAAGAAGCCUUUACACAGAAAUAAUAAGUAUAGACGACUAUUUAGCAAAAGUAAAUGCAGAUAAGUUAGUUAUAGCCCAAUUUGGAGCUUCAUGGUGUGCUCCUUGUAACAAAUUAAAGCCAGUGAUUAAAAAAAUAGGUGAAGACAAUGAACAUGUUGAGACUUUAUUUAUAGAUAUCGAUGAAUUACCGGAAUUGGCAGAGAAUGAAGACAUAAAUGAACUACCAACUGUUUUAUUGCGAAAAAGUGGAAAGUACCUAGAUAAAAUAGUAGGUAAGGUUUUAUUUACAUAUAUAUUCAAUUUAUUAAUAUAUAUUUAUAUAUAUAUGUCUUUGAUGCAAAUAUAUGCACGUCUACGGGCCAUACAUAAAUGGAUAUAUAUAUAUAUAUAUGUUUUUUUUUUUUUUUUAGGAUUAAAUGAGCAGGAAUUAAAAAACAGUAUACAGAAGCAUCAGCAUGACUGAUCAUAAGAAAUAUAUACAUAUAUAUAUUCACUUCUGCCUGUGCAUAUAUACAUACGUAAACAUGUACAUGUAAAGUUUAUAAACACUUAUAUAUUAUGUUCCUUAAAGAAUACAAUAAAUUUUAAAAAUAGU
rnacentral:lncRNA from 1 species